GGAUGCGAUUAUACCAGCACUAAAGCACCGGAUCCCAUCAGAACUCCGAAGUUAAGCGUGCUUGGGCGAGAGUAGUACUAGGAUGGGUGACCCCCUGGGAAGUCCUCGUGUUGCAUUCC
rnacentral:rRNA from 1 species